rnacentral:rRNA from 1 species
UACGAAGGGGGCUAGCGUUGUUCGGAAUCACUGGGCGUAAAGCGCGCGCAGGUGGUCUUUCAAGUCAGUGGUGAAAGCCCGGAGCUCAACUCCGGAAAUGCCAUUGAAACUGUGAGACUUGAGGACGAGAGAGGUGAGUGGAAUUCCCAGUGUAGAGGUGAAAUUCGUAGAUAUUGGGAAGAACACCGGUGGCGAAGGCGGCUCACUGGCUCGUAUCUGACGCUCAGGCGCGACAGCGUGGGGAUCAAACAGG